AAAGAUUUGGAGAAAGAUUUACCGGUCAAGUAAGUUUUUUUUACUGGGUUUUCAUCUAGCUUCAAACUUUCUCUAGUUAGUAGCUCAUGGUCAUGGUUUUGUUGGGUUUAUUGAUUGAUUGUUUUUUGUUUAUAAAAACUUGGAUUAUUGAUUUUUUUUAUUUUUUAUUUUUUAAUAAUUAUUACUAAUUUUAGCAUCUAGGUUCAAGAACUACGAAAUAAAGCACAGUAUAUGAUUUUGUUUUGCCGGAUUUGAUGAUUUAUGAAUUUACUGUCUUACCGCUGAGUUUUUUUACCUGUUACUUAAAUAGAAACCGAUGAUAAGGUUCUAUCUUUGUUUAAUCAAAGAGAAAUCAUCACAUGUUAUUGUCCUGUGUGUGUCCAUUACGGAAAAAAGCAUUUAAGUUUUUUUUUUUUUUUUUAGAGAAAAGGAGCAUCUAAGGUUCUUAUUUUUCUUAAUGAAUGGCAUUAAAGAAGUCCUAGCUUAACGGAUAAAAAAAUAUGAAAUUAUUAGAUUGGACUUUCGGAUUAGGGUUUGAAUUUCGAUUGAGUUUUUAAUGGCUAUUGUCAUUUUAUCUAUUAUAAAAACAUUAAAGAAAUAUCCCAUCAAGUUGUGUAAUCUUUCAAUUAAGCUUCAUGUUUGGAAUAUUUUUUUGUCUCCAAUUAUUUUUCAAUGAUAUCCUCAUCUAAUUAAAUAAUUCAUAUAACUAAUUCACUACAACUACUCUAAUCAAUAUUAGCAUUUUCAAUAGACAUCAGUAAAAAAAGUGCAUUAGCUUAAACUACUCUAAUUAAUUUUGUUUUGCUCAAGAUAAUGUGUUUAAUGCUUGCUCACCAUUCAUUAUUCUAAUGAUCUGCUUUUUCUGGUUGGGGCCUGAGGGUAAGUGGAUUUUAGAAUAUAUCUUGUUCCGAUUAUUUAACUGAGUAUUAGUGUAAUAGAUGGGAAUAAUAAUAGAUCUCCACCAUCCAAAUAAAGUGCUGGGGUGAGUUGACAUUGUUAGAGCAUCUUUAAUAAUGUUUGAGCACCUCGUUAAUAAUUUUAGGGACUCACAAGACAUUAUUCAAUAUAAUGAUGCAUUUGUAGAAUAGAUAAUUAAACUUUACAACAUUAUUAUGAAUUUGCUUCUAAGUAGGGGUGACAAAUUUAGGACAGCUUGCAAGUGGACCAACCUCAUAAAUUUUAGAUUAGAUCAAAAUAGUAAAUGGAUGACAAAUCAACCAUAAAGACAAGUAGGAAUAGAUAUGAAGGAUGGAUAUACAACUUGCACAUUAAUAUUUUUGAUAUAUAUAUAUAUAUAUAUAUAUCAAAAACUAUAUCAAAAAAUUGCCCUUCUAACAAUAUAUAUAUAUAUAUAUAUAUAUAUAUAUAGUAUAUAUCAAAAAUAUCAAACAAGCUAGGCCUCCCUCAAGGAUGGGCCUCAAAUUUUUUUUUUGGAAAUGGAUCCACUCCUGCCAUAUUCUCUCCUGCGCGGUUCUCAACCAUUUGAUUAAUCUAACGGUAGUGUGUUAAUUAGAGGAGAGAGAAACCUGAAUCCACUUCAUUUUCUUCAAUUUUACAGAAUAACCAUGAAUUUUACAGAAUAACAUCAUCCUCUCCUGAGAAUGUUGUAUGAGCAUUGAAGAAAUUUAGUUUUUAUAAUUUGUUGAGCCAAUUAAAAACUAUAAUAUAACAUAAAACAAAGUUGUAAUUAGGAUUUUGUUCCAGUUUCAAAAGACAAAUACAUGAGAUCCAUCUUUAAUCUUCAUCGCUGUCAACAAGAACAUCAAUUUCAGCCACCCAGAUACAAACAUACAGAAUCUACCUUCAUCUCUAUCAGCAAAAACUUGAAAAACACAAUUUCAAAUUGCAACAUUUUCCCUAUUCACAAAAUCUGAAAAGGAAAAUAAGCACUUGUAAGAAAGCAUAUAUAGAUAGAACAUUUUCACCUCUGGGUGUAUCGCAUAUAUACGGCACCUUGUAUUUAUCUUUUUAAAAAAAAUAUAAAUAGAACAUUGCUCUUUUAAAAAAAAUACGUUUUGAUUUUAUCAUCGGCCUCUUUUCAUUCCCAGAGCCGAGUCUCCGAAUUUUCAAGGAUGGCCUUAUGUAGGUUGCUAACUUGCACCUUAAUAAUUUUAGGUGGGUGUAACUUGCUAACUUGCAUCUUAGUGUUUUUAGAUGGGUGUAAGUUAGCAGCCCCUUUUAAAAACAAACUCAUAAAUAACUAAGGUUUCUUAAUCAGAAGUAGUCAAAAUUACCUUUAUCCAAAGGUUACUACUACUCCAAAGUAUAAAACUUUGGAAAGGAUCUCCAUCUUGACAUUUUGUUUAUUACAUACAAAUCCUUCUUCUCCUUUUCUAUUUCUAUGAAGUAAAUGCAUGUAGCCUCUUUGUGUCCAAAUAUAUUGCAUUCUUUAUUCUAUUUUUUUAUAUUACACUUCAUACUUUAUUUCUGUUCUAUGGAUAUCCAAUAAAUAUGAGAAGUUUGAGAAUUGAAGAGGUCCACACGUCGGUGUUGGUUGGUUGCCAGAUGGAUUUGUCAUUUGUGUUGGAUUCAAUUAACAGAAAUAAAUUCAUGGGUUAAUAGGUCUUUACUCCCUGUAAUAUAGGUCAUUUCCGGUUUUCCCUCUGUAAAAUUGUAUUUUUGAUUUACCCGUGUAAAAUAUUUUUGUUUUGAUUUACCUCCCUAAUAGGCCAAACAAAAACGAAAUUUUUUUUUAAAAAAAAAAUUGGUUUUUGUUUGGCCUAUUAGGGGGUAAAAAAAAAAAUUACAGGGGAAAAACCAGAAAUGAACUAUAUUCAGAGGGUAAAAAUCUAUUAACCCUAAAUUCAUUAUAUUUAAGUGUCCAGUGAAGAGUUUUUUUUCCCUACUUUCUGAGAGACAAAAAUUUAUUUUGACAAUAAUAAAUUAUAUUAGUAGUAGUUAACAGUGAGUUGGAUGUAGAUUAAUUUAGGUUUGAAUAUUAUUUAAGUUAAGGAUAUCCAAACAUGUUAAAGUCAAUUUCAUGCUUCUAAAAUUACUUAGUGCUAUCAUAACAUUGAAUGCAAAAGUUUUCUUACAAAUUUUACUUUGGAAAAAAGGGUUAGUAUACAUGUGCUAAUGCUAUGAUGAACGUGUUCAUCUUGAUUCAGUAGUUGAAUCUGAAUUUACAAGAUGAACUACCAACAUACUGAAGACUAUAUAUCUAUCUCAACUACAAUGAUUGGAUGCUGUGAUCACUUCAAUUCAGAUGUAGUUUUAUCAACUUAUGUAAUGUUGUUGUGUGAUUCAGGAAAAGCAUAUCCAACUUUUAUAUUGGAAAAUCAAAAUCAUUCACAGACUUAGCAGAUGCAGCAGGUGCGACUUGUUUGCAAGAGAUAGUAAAAGCAGAAGACCCUUAUGCUAAAAAACGCAAGGAUUCACUAGCCCGUAACUUACUGAUAGGGAGGAGCCGCAGUUAUGCAAAUGUUGGUGGAAUAACAAACUCAAAGAGAACUUCAAGCUUAGGUCGACGAACAUCUUGUCUGAAUCUGAACAGCAAUGCUGACAGUGGUGAUGAGGGGAAGAGUUCCGCUUCUAGAUCAAUAUCUCCUCCUUGUCCACUUCCUCCCCUUCAUUCACGACCUAAUAGGUUAUCGGCAACUACUUCACUUCCUCGUCCUCCCGCACAAAAUCAUCCUUUGCGCUCAUACUCCUGGUCUGAUCUCAACUCUGUAGCUGAGGGUCAUGAUAUAACUGGUUUGGCCAUUUGUAGCGGAAACAAAGACAAUAAAGUACACUGAUUUUUUUACAUGAAUUGAACAUUUAGCAAGUGAGUUUAUGAGUUUGUUUUGUAACGGAGAAUGUUAUCUAUGUGUGAACUCGUCUUAAACCUACCGAGUAGUGUUGUAUAUUAUGACUCUGGAAAACCUACUUAUUAGCAUAGACAAUUGUUGUCAAUUUUGAAAUUGGUUUGAUUGUUAUUCAAAGAUAUCACACAUUCAAAACACGAACAAAAUCAAAGAAGCGAUUGGUUGCAGCUGUAUAGUUUCCUUCUGGGCCGCCAUCUUCUACUGUAAGAAAAUGAACACCGUUGGUAAGUAUUCAAUUUUCGAUGAAGUUGGCCGAUGCCUUAAAUAAUGUUUUUGUUUAGAAAUGAUUAUUUAGUGAUGAAUUCUUGGAGGUUGAAUCCUUCAUUGCUCGUUGAUUUCUUUCUUACCGGCUUCAAUGGAAUGCGUACACAUGCUGCUAUGAUGCCAAGUAAGAUAGUUUUGUGAGGGGUUUUCAAUAAUAUACGGGAAGUUACCAUACAUACGGCGGUUUACCCCUAUUUAUAGAAAUGUUAUUUUCACUUAUAGAUAUGGUAUUUUCAGUUCAACGAACUUAUUUUAGGAGCAGGAGUAGAAUUUAGGCCUCUAAUUGAAGGCUACAAGAUGAAUUGUACUCAGUGUUCUGUGGUCUAUCCCAUCCCAUACAAAUAAUAGAAAGUUUCCACAAAUCGAGUGUUAACACGUAAACUCGUUCGAGUUUACGUUUUUAGGUGGCAAAAACGUGUUAACUCGGAGGUAAACUCGGUUUUUGGUGAAAUCGAAAAGUUUGACGAGUUUGACCGAGUUAACACGUGUUAAAUUCGGUAAACUCGUGUAAACUUGUCCGAGUUUACCUUUGAAUUUUUUUUUGUCUCAUUUUCUUUCAAAAUCCAAUUUUUUUUUUAAUCCCAAUGGGUGAGAAUGACAUACAUUGAAUUUUAGGGAAUGCAUUCAGAAGCUUGUUAUUAUUGAUUGUUUUGAAAUCAUUCAAAUAUAUUACUUGUUCAAGUAUUUAAAUGAGAAAAUGGAACAAUUGAAGUUAAAGUUACAACUAAAGAUGAAAAAGAGUUUAAAUGUACUAAUAAAUUUUGUUUUUUAUUGUUAGAGUUUAUUAUUUAAAUGUGGUUAAUUGGUUUACAUAUGCUAUAUAUAUAAUAAAUUUUAUAUAAUUUUAAUUUUAGGUAAUUUUAGGUAAACUCGUACGAGUUUACGUAGCUAAAACGAGUUGAGGUAAACUCUCGAGUUAUAAAACCUUGGUUUUUCCAUUAUUGUGUUCUAUCAUAUAUCCAAUUAAACGCGAGUGCAGGUGGUUUGAUUUGCUGAAAGGAAGCUGCCCAACUUCUUCUUUCAUCAUCACAUUAUUCCCUCAACCUAUGUGUAUAUUUAUAGUGUACGUUGAUUGGUAUUUACAAUGUAGGAUGAGUUUCAAUGGCAUAUCUUGAAUGGUUUAGACUUGUAUGGGCAUCCAUAAAAAAGACUUUUGAGUAAUUAAAUAAAUCGUAUACACAUCAUUUAUUUAUAAUUUUUUAAUAAUACAGUAGCUGACAAGCACUUAACGACUGAUUCAACACUUCUAACAAAAUUUAAAUUGCUCCCACCUAUAACUUUUCAUCGUUACAUACUUAUAUUCAUAAAAAUAUGUGUUCAAUUUAACUUACAUUUAGUGCAAAUGAUUGUCUCAAGUCAAUAUUAACUUGAUGCUAGAUUCGUUUAGUCAGACAUAGUUUUGACUCUUGCAAACGACGAGUACAUACACUUUUUAUGUUACAUUCAGCGCUACCUAUAAAGAUGAUUUUUUGAGAUCAUCUGACUAAAUCAUUUGAAAGACUCAUUCCAAUACGCAUGAAUUCGAUUCUUGUAAUGAUUAUUUUAAUUAAGUGAAAACGGACACAAAUGAUUGCCUAGAGUCGAUUUUAAUUUGAAGCAUGUGCAAGAUUUAUUUAGGGUGUGUUUGUUUCAAGUUUACCAAAUUUAUUCCUAGGAAUAACAUUCCUUCGUACGUAAAGAUGAGAAUUUUAUUCCAAGGUAUAUAGAAAAAAGAUGUUUGUUUAACAUUAUAAUAUUUCUGAGAACCAUAAAAAUAAGGAUUAUAAUGUAAUUACAUAUGAAAUUAUUUCCAUCUUCAUGGGAACUUUAUUCCCACCCUUUUUCUUUGGGAAACAUUUUCUAUUCCCAGGAACGUUUUAUACUCAAGAAUAAAAUUUAGCAAACUUGUAACAAACAUAGGCAUGCAUAUUUCUAUCUUUUUAUUCCCAGAAAUUUACGAAUAUAACUUGAAACAAACACACCCUUGGUCAUAAACGACAAAUAUAUACAUCUUUUAUGUUACUUAUGUUCAAACAUACGACUAAAAAUGUUUGUUUUAAUAUCAUAUGACCGAAGCAGACUGAUUCAAUUACGUAUGGAUUCGAUUCUCGUGAUAAUUGUAUUAAUUAAGUGUAACUAAUAAGUGUAAUUAUGUAUGGGUUGGCUUACUGGGAAUGGUUUGAGAUUUGGGAGUGUGCUCCUCCUCAAGGUUUCAGGUUCAUUUCUCUCUGGUGCCAAUUUGGAUGGACUAAUUUAACUUCUUAAAAAAAAUAAAAAAAUUAAGUGUAACUAAUAUUUUUUAGAAUCAUAAAUCAUGUUAUUAUUUCAAAUUCUUAAAAUCUUAAAUAUAUACUAAAAUAUAGAUUUACUACUUCAAAAUCCUCCCCUCCAAAUAAAAUCUACGCAAUAUCCUAAAUUUUUUAUUUUCCUCGUAAAAAUACAUAAUUAGGGAGAGAAGCCAUAUUUGUUGAUACAGGCCCGCUUGUUAAAUAUAUUAUUAAAAAAACUUAAUUUUUAUGUUUUAAUAUAUCUGUGUGUAAGCUUUUUCAAAAUGAUUUUUAAACUAAAAUCGGAAAAACUAUUUAAAUAUUGAAGAAAACUAUUUACCAAAGAGUGAAAUGCAAAAUAUAUUUUUAAAAUUGUAAUCAAACACAACAUAGUUUUUGUUUUUCCUUAAAAACUCAAUAAAAAAUCUCUAAAUUGUUAAUAUCAAAAUAACUUUUAUUUUAAUCAAUAACAAACGACCCUUUAUCAACCUCAAUAACUAUUUUACCAGUGAAAAAUAUAUUUUAAUUUUUUCGAAAGUAUAUCUUAAAAAUAUUCAAGAUAAUUAUUUUCUAUUAAAAAAAAGUAAUGUCCACCAGAGCAUCAAAUAAAGUUAAUUAUUUAUAAAUUAAAAAAAAAACUCAAAUAUGUUAUAAAUAACAUUAUUAUUCUGUAAUUUUUUUUUUAUUAUAUUCAUUUUUUGUGAAGUAGUUUAGUGGCUAUAAUUAUACCCCUUAAACUAAAUAAACGGUGAAUUCAAGGUUCAAACUUCAGCUUAGGGGUGCCAAAAAUACUUAUGUCCGCGGGUAAAAUCUGUCAUGGGCACGGGGCGGGUAACUAAACGAGUAUAAUAAACGGGUAUUUUACUACCUAUUAUUUUAAGGAUAUGGACACGGAUUUGAUGAUACCCGUGUCCACGGAUACUCAUACCCAAUAAUAAAUUAAAUAAAUUACUAUAUUAUCCUUGUGUGUGUGUAAGAGUUUGAGAUCUCAAAAAACCCUAGUUUAAUAUUGUACGGCUGUACGACAUCUUUUCUCUUAUGUCACAACUUUUUCUUCCUCUUCCCUUUUGGUGCACCCUAGUUUUCUUCUUCUCAUUCUUUUUUUUCCUUCUUCUUAGCAUGAUUAUUUGUUUUUUAUUUUAAAUUUUAGAGCUUUCUAAUUUUAGAUGAAUACAUGAGUAUAUCAAUUUGUUUCUUAUUUCUAUGUGGAAAUUGAUUUAAUCUUUUGGUGUGAAACUGAGAUUUUUUUUUUAAAAAAAAAUUCUUCACUUCUUUGUUCAGUAAUUUCUUUAUAUGUGUCUUGGUUACUUCUUUUAUGUCAUGUAUUUCGUUCCUUCGUAAAUUGACACGCACGAUGCAAGAAUUAUUAAUUUUGUAUGGAUUAUGUAUGAUUUACGAAAUUUGAAUGGAUUAUGUAUGAAUGUUUAAAAGUUAAAGUUUUUUGAUAAUUAAAACAAAAAUAUUCUUUUUACCAAAAAAUAAAUAAAUUCAAAAUUCAUGGGUACUCAUGAAUACCUCAAAACAUGCGGGAUAGUCGUAUAGUGGGUACCCACGCUGGUACAGAGCAUACACUGAUAUCAUAUUUAUCCAACGAAACGGAGACGAGUAUUGUACUAUCUGUAUCCAUGGAUACUCAUUGACAUCCCACUUCAGUCUCUGCAUAUGCAUAUAUAGUGAAUGUUCUUACCUAUUGAACUAUGCUCACAGAAACAACACUAUAUUCUACUAAAAGGCAAACUUUUACAAAUGUUAUAUAUUAUAAUACUAGAAAUUAAAUAAAAAAAUCCAUCAUCUGAAUUUGUAAUACAGUAAAUGUUAUUUUUAUUUUAUCAAUAGUUGUAUUUUAAUUUCUUAAUUAACUCAAUUCUCCUUGAGUUAUACUCCUUAGCAAUACUCUCUAUCAAAAUUAGAUUUACCAUUACAAAUAUGAUUGCUUGUUCAUGCUUCAAGUGAUUUGUUAGACCUUCCAAUGCUGGAUAAUGUGAAAGAGGCACUAAUAACUGAAACAAUGAUGAUUUCUAAAAAAGAAAAACUCAAACAAUAUAUUUAAGUCUUUUCUUACACGUCACACCAAAAUAAUAAGUUUUUUAUUUCAUUUUUACAAAUGAUUACAUACAAUCAUAAGUUAUGCUAAAGUGUUCUCUCUUCUCUUCUCUCUAAAAAAAAGUGUUCUAAAAAGAUUGUUUAAGAAAUUCAUAAAAGUAAAUACAAACCAAAUCACUCGAGUUUCUAUGCAAAUCAAAUAUUUCUCUUAAUCAUAAAUGCACAAGUUUCUAUGCAAAAGUUACUUAAGUUUCUAUACAAAAGUUAUUAUUCUUACUACUUAUUUUAAUUUUGUAAACAAUAUUUUAAGGACACUCGUUAGUAUUUCUUAUAAUUAUAUAGAAAACUCUAUUCACUCGAGUUGGUCUUGUGGUGUUUGACUAGGACAUUAAAGUGUGCUCCUUUCAAGGUCUAUGAUUUGAUUUUUCUUAACAUCAAUUUCGGUGCGUUAAUUUAGGUUUUUCAAUACAUAAAUUAAUAUAUUGAAAUAUGCAACGAUAUUCAUGAUUGCUUGUCAUUUCAUAUAUGUUCUUUUGACAUUAUCUUUCCUAUUUUUGCAUCAAAAUCACAACAAAUUAUCAGUUUUUGUGAGUCUUUAUUUUUUUGUACCAUUCUACCUCACAUUCUUUUCACUAAAUAUUCAUUCUACAGUAUAUACAUGAGUUGGCAAACCCUCGGAAGGUGUGUCUUUAGUAGAAAAGUAACUGUAACUGAAUUUUCUUGUUGCAAUUGCAAUGAGUACAUUUGAAGUUUUUAUAAUCCAUUUACUAACUUACACUCACAAAAAACACGUCUCUUAAUGCAUGAACAUGAGCAUGCCUCAUGUGACUAAUAGUCGUGACUCUCACACCCUUUCAUUUUCUUCUUCACAUAUGGUAAUUUCAAAAGACCUAUUCACUACUAUUUAAACAUUACCAAGUUUCCCAAAUCAAACAUAACAUUGUUUCAUGUUUCCUUCCAUGGAUCCUCCACUUUCUUCCACCGUUCCUCAAGAGGAUUUUCUUAUGUUCCAUCAAAUGGACAGAGACCUCUACAAAAUCCUUGUCACCAACCUUUCUCGUGAUCCAUCUGAGUCCAUGCGAUUGCUUGCUAUGUGGCUUUGGCUGGAAAAAGUUGGUUUUCCUAACGUUGUGAAAAACAUUAUGUCUUUGCCUAUCAUUUUGAUCAAUGAAAUUGUUGAUGAAUCAAUGAUAUGUCUCAGUUGUCUUACCAACAACAACAACGCUUCUGUAAUUGCAAUGUCAUCUUAUGAAGCAAAUGAUAUUCCACUUCUUCAAAGCCUAAUGGAAAAGGAAAUCUCGCUGAAAUUCUUUCUUCAGAAUCGUGUGGAAGCAAUUCGAGGGGUGGAGAAAACAAGAAGAGAAGAUUGUAUGAGUGCAUUGGGUGACAUCAUGCAACAGGCGAUGAUGAGAAACAUAGCGGAUAGAAUGGUGGAGAACAACAGUUUUUUGUUUGGUUCGACUGGACCAAUGAAUCUGCAAUUUGGUUCGGUUGGGAUCGCUGGUGCAAUGGUGCAACAACAGAGCAACAACAAUGGAGGAAGAGGGGGAAUUAUACCGGCAGAUGAUAGGACAUUGUUUGUGACAUUUUCGAAAGGGUAUCGUGUUGAAGAAUGGGAAGUUAAAGAAUUUUUUAGCAUGGCUUAUGGAGAUUGUAUUGAGACUUUGUUUAUGCAAGAAACUCAAGCAAAUGAGCAACCACUUUUCGCUAGAAUUGUUUUUCAUAAGGUGAGUACUAUUGACAUGAUUCUGAGAGGGGCUUCUAAAGUCAAAUUUUCCAUCAAUGGGAAACAUGUGUGGGUGAGAAAGUUUGUUCCGAAAAGAGCAAACACCGGCAGGAUUAUGAUUCCUGGAGAGACUUAUGGUUUUGAUUUUGGAGCUACUAGAUAACCAAGAUUAUAUGAUGUUUAUGUGUUGUGUUAUCGUAUUUAAGGUGGUUUGAGAAUAUUAAUGUUCACAUAAAUAAAAUUAUGUAAUCUGAUGAUAAAAUUAUGUACUAUAAUGGUUUAGAUGAAUAAAUUUGUCAAGUUAAAAAAAUCAAAUCAAAUUUAUAGAAGUUUUUUGACUAAUUAUUGUACAAGUUAAUUGUCGUUCGGGGAUUUAUGAAGAUUUUUGAAGGGGUGCAAGUGCAGCUCGUAUAUCUCUUGACGACUUAACCCCAAAGUUUUACAUUUGGGUGUUGUUAAGUAUUAUAAACACAAUACAUAUAUAUUCUGUUAUUAACAAAGAAAAAUUGAAAUUUCCUUUUAUGAAAUUAGAAGAUUGGUGUUUUGUUACAGUAAGUAAGACAAGGGAUGCACUGGUUUUUACAUAUUUUUUCUUUAUAGAUGGUUCUUACUUUUUACAUCCUCAAAACUAAAAUGCUAAAGUUACAAAAAAAAAAAAAAAAAACAUAUCAAUGA
rnacentral:lncRNA from 1 species